UACGUAGGUGGCAAGCGUUAUCCGGAAUUAUUGGGUGUAAAGGGUGCGUAGACGGAGAAACAAGUUGGUUGUGAAAUCCCUCGGCUCAACCGAGGAACUGCAACCAAAACUAUUUCCCUUGAGUGUCGGAGAGGAAAGUGGAAUUCCUAGUGUAGCGGUGAAACGCGUAGAUAUUAGGAGGAACACCAGUGGCGAAGGCGACUUUCUGGACGAUAACUGACGUUGAGGCACGAAAGUGUGGGGAGCAAACAGG
rnacentral:rRNA from 1 species